CGAUGAAGUGAGCCGUAGCUCACGAAAGCUUAUGCUCACAUAGUCACAUGUGACUCCAGGAACUGGGACCUUAAGAAAAACACCAAAUAUCAUGGAGUUAGAAAAAAAGACACCCCUAUCAUUGUUUGUCUGCUUUUUACAGCUUAAAAAAUAAACACACUUUCCCCCCCAAAACCAAACCAAAACAGAAAAACAACCCUGUGGUGAUAUGAAAGAAACGUGUGUGUGUGUGUGCGCUAUACAGGCCUUUCCUUGUAAUGCUCUGUCUCAAAAGUCAUGUCAUUCAAGAGCUGCUAGCCCAGUCUGACACUUCCAAGCUACUUGUCUCUCUAAAGGUAGCUGUGUGGGAAGCUUCCCUGUUCAAGACAUCAUGUUCCAGUUAACAAGAGUCAAUCUCCCCUCCUGCCCAUAUCUAAACAAUUGAGGAAGCUGAACAUAAAGUUAUGUGGUCAAUUAGUCAAACACAACAUUUCAAAGGACCUCUUGACCUCUCAAAACUGGGCAGGAAAGUGGAGGGAUGAAGCAGAACAAGUAAUAGAGAACUCUACAGUUUUCCAAUGCUUUGCUCCUUCAACUAGGUUCUGCUCUCACUUGCACCAACGACGGUUUAUUCCAGAAAGUAGCCUCACAACUCUGGCAGCAAGAUAUUAAGUGAACUCAACCAGUGAAACGCAAAGUAACAUAUAAGGACAACUUCCCUGAAAAACCACUCUUUGGCUGAGGGCAGCACACUGUUCUCUCGCAACUCCUGAAAAUGGCUGGCCUUACAAAUUAACUUUUGCAUUGGUCUCAUACUCCACACUUUGCAGCAUGGGUUUAAAGCUGCUAACAGGAACUGCCCCUUGAGAACAAGGACAGUUGGUAAAGACAGUAACAGUAAUUAUUUUUCUCCAGGUGGCUUGUGUAUUCUUUUUUAUUUCUAUUACAUUUUCCUCUGGAAAUUGCAUUAGUCUGUUUUCCUGUGUCUGUUCUGAACCUUCCUUAAUUGUAUUUUAUCAGUAUCUCCAGUUAUAUGUCAACAGUUAUCUGAACGCAGCAGCCCAGUGUAGCAUUCCCUGUUUUCAUUCACCGUGUUAACAGAUGCAUCUCACUCAUGCAUAACUUUGCUUUUGGAAAGUGACUCAGCACUUACUACAUGUUUUCCAAUGUAUUUCAUUUCUCUCUCCCAGCAGUAACCAUUAUUCUUCCACUUACAGUAAAUAUGAAAGGUUUUUAUUCUUUAAUGCCUAACCCAGUCUGGGCUUUUGCCUUAAACCUGAUUGCUUUUAUGUAUGUAACAUGUGUAUUCAUCAGCAUUUGAUUCACUUUCUUGAGCUGGUAUCUGCAACAGUUCACUGGCCAGGCUUACAACUCAGAGUCUGAAGCACACACACGCAGCCUAAUAACCUCUAGCUCUAUGCUGAGCCAGUGACUCAGAAGGAAGAGUGCCACCUACUGAACCACCAGCAGCAUUAUAAAUAAAGUGGAGAUGGGCCUAAAUAAAAUAAUCCAGUUCUAAACAUACCUGAACUUUGGGAAAGUUUACACCCUGCUUGUCUUCUGUCUCUAAUGAGCAGAAUGAACUGCAUCUGAACUCAGGAGAAGUCUGGAUCUAAAUCCAGUGAUGCAUGGAGAUACAGCAGCCAGCACUGAGGUCUGCCGCUCUGUUGGAAAACAUCCAGGCUUUCGGGACCUGCAGUCACUCACUCAACAAACUGUCACUUUGCUGUUCCUAAUGUUUUGCUGCCCUGGGCAACUGCCUGUUCUGCUUCUGUUGCAGAGCCAAUCUUCCAUGGAAACACUACCAGCCCACCCACAACUGCAGCUGCAUUAGACCAUCCGCUGUUGCAACAUGAAUCACAGGAAUACAGAUUCAGAAUCUAAAAGAGAAAGUAUCUGCACUGCUUUGAGUUUCGACCAUCAUCUGUAAAUUUACAGUCACCACAGCUGAGGAGGGAGGCAAAGGGUCAGCCACUUUCAUUUCUCUCUCCUUCCUGGGAGCCAAACUGGUUGCAAGUAAGAGCAUCGGUGGGGCUGCUCUAAAUUAUGCCAACUGCAAUGGCCCCCUAGUGGUGGCCCAGGGCUGCUGGAGUGCAUCACACACUGGCUCUGCCUCCUUCCCCACAUCACAAUAUAUCUGAACUGUGGAUGUCUGUGGAUGCUUUAAAUUCUCUCCAUGUUGCUAGAGUGGUGCAAAGGGGAUUUAAUCAGGAUUGAAGUGCUAUGUGUUUGAACUGAAUUGUCUCUCUGAGGAUGUGCAAGCUUCUGGAAGCAGGGACCAGAUCUUCCCUUAUGUUCUGUAAAGUCCUGAACACAGGAAUGAUGAUAAAAAUGCAAUUAUACUUCAUGACCUGGCUUUACAAACGGCAUUGUGGGUUACCAUGGCUAGUGGCUCAAUAACAAUUUUGCUCUGGCUACAAGUGAAAAGAUGGCCUUUUUCUAACUGCCAGCCCACAAACUCCACCUCGGAUCAAAAAGUCCAGGUGGAGUCUUUCUUGCUCUCACGCCACUAUUUGCUAAGUUCCUGUUGCAGAAUCUUUAACAAUUCUGUUAAUUAUGAAGAAGCUGAUAACUAUUACAGGCAUUGUAAGGUGCAUGAGUCAGAAAAAUCCAGUUCAAUCUCUCUCUGUUGGGCUCUGCAAAGCUAUCAGGAUUGGAAUAAAAUAUAUUAUUGUCAGAAAA